rnacentral:rRNA from 1 species
AGAGUUUGAUCCUGGCUCAGGACGAACGCUGGCGGCGUGCUUCAUACAUGCAAGUCGAACGAGAAGCUGACUUCGGUCAGUGGAAAGUGGCGGACGGGUGAGUAAUGUGUAGAGAAUCUGCCCUUGAGAGGGGGACAACAGCUGGAAACGGUUGCUAAUACCCCAUAUGAGCGUACCUGAGAUGGUAUUCUUGAAAACUCCGGUGCUCAAGGAUGAGUCUGCAUCUGAUUAGCUAGUUGGCGGGGUAAUGGCCCACCAAGGCGACGAUCAGUAGCUGGUUUGAGAGGAUGAUCAGCCACAAUGGGACUGAGACACGGCCCAUACUCCUACGGGAGGCAGCAGUAGGGAAUUUUGCGCAAUGGGGGAAACCCUGACGCAGCAACGCCGCGUGAUUGAUGAAGCCCUUCGGGGUGUAAAGAUCUGUCAGUGGGGACGAAAGAUGACGGUACCCACAGAGGAAGCACCGGCUAACUCCGUGCCAGCAGCCGCGGUAAUACGGAGGGUGCAAGCGUUGUCCGGAAUCAUUGGGCGUAAAGAGUUCGUAGGCGGCAUGUAAAGUCAGGUGUUAAAGGCGCAGGCUCAACCUGUGUACGGCACUUGAUACUUGCAAGCUAGAAUGCGGUAGAGGUAAAGGGAAUUCCUGGUGUAGCGGUGAAAUGCUUAGAUAUCAGGAGGAACAUCGGUGGCGUAAGCGCUUUACUGGGCCGUAAUUGACGCUGAGGAACGAAAGCCAGGGUAGCAAAUGGGAUUAGAUACCCCAGUAGUCCUGGCCGUAAACGAUGGAUACUAGGUGUUGCGGGUAUCGACCCCUGCAGUGCCGCA